UACGGAGGGUGCGAGCGUUGUUCGGAAUACUGGGCGUAAAGGGCUCGUAGGCGGCCAACUAAGUCGGAUGUGAAAUCCCCAGGCUUAACCUGGGAACUGCAUCCGAUACUGGAUGGCUUGAAUCCGGGAGAGGGAUGCAGAAUUCCAGGUGUAGCGGUGAAAUGCGUAGAUAUCUGGAGGAAUACCGGUGGCGAAGGCGGCAUCCUGGACCGGUUCUGACGCUGAUGCGCGAAAGCGUGGGUAGCAAACAGG
rnacentral:rRNA from 1 species